GAGGUUGACGUGGCGCGAGGAGAGCCACUUGAUCAAUCAACCUAGGGGUUCAACGUAAUUUCACAGUUGACGGCGCCGUUAGGGUGAAAAUGUUUUACAGCCCUCCUCGUCGUCCACCCCAAUCGAAUUGGAGUUCAUUCCAUCCCCUUUACUCUCCAAACCCCUCUUCUCAGACCCAAAAUCACUUCUCUCUCCUGUCGCCACUGGACUUGAUAACCAAGGUCCCCAAAGCCGAAAAUUCAGCUUUAUCAUUGAGGUAGAAACGAGGGAGUAAUCCUAUUCUCGCCUCCGCCGAAAAACCAAGAUUGGAUUCACAAAAACACAAGAUUGGGAGGUCAUCAACCAAGCCUGGAGCUGAUUCCAAGCAGAAAUCUGUUCACACUGUCACAAAAACUGAGGUACCCAUCUUAAAUUUGAUUGCUUUUUACCUUGAAUUUGAGUUCUUUGAUUGGUUUUCGAAUUGGGUCAAUUGGGUUUUUGAGUUGCAAUGGUAAACAAGAUUAGUUCUUCCUCUCAUCAAGUUUCGGCCAUUUCCUGAACACACCCCGCCAUCAGCGUGCGCAGAGGAAGCCGGACAUCAAAAUCCAGAAGCCUCGCCGCUGGCCGUACCUCGAAGGACCCCGCACCUUCCAUCGCCGGUAUCCUAGACCCUGGGUUUCUCCAUUCUUCCUUCUCCAAAUUGAAUCGAGCUCUAGUGCCUCCAAGAAUGGAGUCAGUGCCUCUCCUUUUAUCAAAACCAAGGGCCCGGCUUCUGAUUUCAACCAGAGCCGGCCGGAUUAUCCUCUUCGUUCUGUUCUUUUGAUUGUUGUUCUUGAAUUUCGUACUUGGAGGAAACAGAGAAAUUGAAAUGUAAAGGGGAGCUUUUGGUCUUGAUUUCGAUUGAUUUUUAAAGGGAUGAUGAGGAACUAAGGAGGGUUGCAUGAAGCAGCAGGACAUUGAGACUAUUGUCUCGGCAGAAAUGGUACAAGGUAAGCAUUCCAAGCCUUUGAGUUGAAUGUGUUUCUGUUGGGAUAUUGAGAUUAAUUAAAUCUGUAAUUUUGUGGUGGAGAUGAAUAUAUGGAAUUGAUGUAUGAAAGCAUUAGAUUGAUUGAAUUUGGGAUGUCUUUGAAUUUUAUUAAUACGGAAUUGGAAUGCUUCUGCAAUUUGUUUUGGGUUUACGGUAGUUGAACUAAAAUUUGCAGUCUUUCUUUAUGUUUAAGUAUCUGCAUAGGGAACUGACAGAAAAGAAGAUUGGUAUUCCUAAUCCAGAAGCGAUCAAGCAGUUUCAAUUGACAAUGGAGGAAGGUAGAGUUUGAACAACCCAUUUCAAAUAUGUAAAUGGAUCAUCCUUUUGUUUGAUCUGAAAUUUUAUCUCUGUUUUUUGUUCGUCUUUUUUGGCUUUUUAACUUUACAGUUGAUGAGUUGCUGAAGAACACAUUUGAGGUUAGACCCCAUUUCUCUUUCAAGUUUGCUCGAUCUAGGCUCUUAAAGUUUUGAACUUUUGUGAUAUGCAGCACCAGAUAAUGAAACCCUCUACUCAUUACAGUUUAAUCAUUUAGCUUUGCUUUUCUUUUGGAAAUUACUUACUGCUGAAUCUUAAAUCAGUUGUAUGGAUUUGAUCUGGGUCUCUGAUGUAUUGCAUUUUGGGCUUUUCCUCAUAUUUUGGGCUUUUCCUCAUAUUUUGGGUUGUUAGAUUGAUUAGCAUGAAGUUCAUCUUCUAUUUUUCGUAGAGAUCGACUUGUUGUAUUUAAUAAUUAAUACUAGAUCAAUUUUCUGGCACUCUUGCUUCUGAGCUCGGUUAUCUGGUCAACUUGCAGACCUUGUAAGCCGUCAAAUCCUCCUUUUUUCAGGAUAAAUACAUGCUGCAUGUUGCUAAUGCAAAAACUUGUUCUAUUUUCAGGCUUUGUAGGAAGUGCAAUGAAAGAUUCCGAAGACUGGACUGGAUGGGAAAGAUCAGAAAUGCUCAAGCUUCAAUCAAAUGUUGUACGAGCACUUAAAUGCAGCUCAAGAUGUAAUUUCUACUUUCUGAAUUUAUAUGAAACUAUCAAAACCCUAGUAUUUUUUUUUCUUCCAGAAAGUGUAGAAUCAAAUGACAUUAACUUUGAAGCGUGGAUGGUGAAAUGAAAGGCAUAAUCUAUAACAACACCAAACACGGUAAUCAGACUACAGUUAGAAACAUGAAAUUGUUGGCCUAGUG